AGAGUUUGAUCCUGGCUCAGGAUGAACGCUAGCGGCAGGCUUAAUACAUGCAAGUCGAGGGGCAACAUGUCCUGUAGCAAUACAGGAUGAUGGCGACCGGCAAACGGGUGCGGAACACGUACAGAACCUUCCUUCGAGCGGAGAAUAGCCCGGAGAAAUCCGGAUUAAUACUCCAUAGUAAAUUGAAAAGGCAUCUUUUUAAUUUUAAAGAUUUAUCACUUGAAGAUGGCUGUGCGGCUGAUUAGCUAGUUGGCGGGGUAAUGGCCCACCAAGGCAACGAUCAGUAACUGGUGUGAGAGCACGACCAGUCACACGGGCACUGAGACACGGGCCCGACUCCUACGGGAGGCAGCAGUAAGGAAUAUUGGUCAAUGGACGAGAGUCUGAACCAGCCAUGCCGCGUGGAGGAUGAAGGUCCUCUGGAUUGUAAACUUCUUUUAUAUGGGACGAAAAAGGGUCUUUCUAGAUCAACUGACGGUACCAUAUGAAUAAGCACCGGCUAACUCCGUGCCAGCAGCCGCGGUAAUACGGAGGGUGCAAGCGUUAUCCGGAUUCACUGGGUUUAAAGGGUGCGUAGGUGGGUUGGUAAGUCAGUGGUGAAAUCCCCGAGCUUAACUUGGGAACUGCCAUUGAUACUAUCAGUCUUGAAUACCGUGGAGGUCGGCGGAAUAUGUCAUGUAGCGGUGAAAUGCUUAGAUAUGACAUAGAACACCAAUUGCGAAGGCAGCUGACUACGCGAGUAUUGACACUGAGGCACGAAAGCGUGGGGAUCAAACAGGAUUAGAUACCCCGGUAGUCC
rnacentral:rRNA from 1 species